AUUGCACGCUGGCGGCAGGCCUAACACAUGCAAGUCGCGCGAGCGGCGGACGGGUGAGUAAUGUAUGGGGACUGCCCGAUAGAGGGGGAUAACUACUGGAGACGGUAGCUAAUACCGCAUACUAUCGGAUAACCCAUAUGGGAGUAGCUAGUAGGUGAGGUAAUGGCUCACCUAGGCGACGAUCCCUAGCUGGUCUUGGAGGAUGAUCAGCCACACUGGGACUGAGACAAUGGCCAGAGUCCUACGGAGGCAGCAGUGGGGAAUAGUGCACAAUGGGCGAAAGCCUGAUGCAGACAUGCCGCGGGUAUGAAGAAGGCCCUAGGGUUGUAAAGUACUUUCAGGCGGGAGGCGUUGCCGACAGAAGAAGCACCGGCUAACUCCGUGCCAGCAGCCGCGGUAAUAC
rnacentral:rRNA from 1 species